CCAAAACCAGACCAACAAACCGGGGAUGUUCUUUCUGUGAGUAGAACCGAGCAAACCCAAAGUGUCCAAAGCCACUCCGAUCAUCACGGGGUCAGCGUCCAGAGCCAUCUCAAACACUUUGUUCAGGAACACUGGGAAGGUCUCACAAACCUGCUGGGGGCUGUCCAUAAUGGCCAACUUUCCAAAGAACUUCACCAAACCUUCGACUUUGUUGAGGAGUAUCUCCUGCAGCCUACGCCCGCUGUCUACUCUAAUGGUGCUGUUGUUAAUGUAAGAGAGAGAGCAAGGAAACUAGACCUGAACAACGCCAGGGAGAAUGUGUCCCGAUCCUACUCCAUCACUAACCCUGAUGUCUGCAGUGUCUCCGACCCCUUUCUUCUG